rnacentral:rRNA from 1 species
GAUGAACGCUGGCGGCGUGCCUAACACAUGCAAGUCGAACGAUGAAGCCGGAGCUUGCUCUGGUGAAUUAGUGGCGAACGGGUGAGUAACACGUGAGUAACCUGCCCUUGACUCUGGGAUAACUGCGGGAAACUGUAGCUAAUACCGGAUACGACCCUCGGAGGCAUCUCCUGGGGUGGAAAGAAUUUCGGUCAAGGAUGGACUCGCGGCCUAUCAGCUAGUUGGUGAGGUAAAGGCUCACCAAGGCGACGACGGGUAGCCGGCCUGAGAGGGUGACCGGCCACACUGGGACUGAGACACGGCCCAGACUCCUACGGGAGGCAGCAGUGGGGAAUAUUGCACAAUGGGCGCAAGCCUGAUGCAGCAACGCCGCGUGAGGGAUGACGGCCUUCGGGUUGUAAACCUCUUUUAGCAGGGAAGAAGCGAAAGUGACGGUACCUGCAGAAAAAGCACCGGCUAACUACGUGCCAGCCGCCGCCGUAA